UGGGGAAUAUUGCACAAUGGGCGCAAGCCUGAUGCAGCCAUGCCGCGUGUAUGAAGAAGGCCUUCGGGUUGUAAAGUACUUUCAGCGGGGAGGAAGGUGUUGAGGUAAGUAAACCUCAGCAAUUGACGUUACCCGCAGAAGAAGCACCGGCUAACUCCGUGCCAGCAGCCGCGGUAAUACGGAGGGUGCAAGCGUUAAUCGGAAUUACUGGGCGUAAAGCGCACGCAGGCGGUCUGUCAAGUCGGAUGUGAAAUCCCGGGCUCAACCUGGGAACUGCAUUCGAAACUGGCAGGCUGGAGUCUUGUA
rnacentral:rRNA from 1 species